AUCUCCAGCAGGGCCUGCUGCUGGGCCUGCAUCUCGCGGCGCGCCUGCUCCAGGAUGUUCUUGAUGGCAUCCUCCGAGCAAAAUAAUGGCACAAACCCAAUGCACAUGGGUAGAAGAAUGGAUAAUAAAUAAUGGCAUGGCUAGACAGUGGAAUGGUAUACAGCAGGGAAAAAGGAAACCACCCUGCAAAACUACCAUGAGCAAUAGUGAAGAUGGCACAUGGUCAUGAUGAACAUGUCUUCUAUAAAGCUCCAAAGAAGCAAAAUAAACAAUGUGUGACUCA